rnacentral:rRNA from 1 species
GACGUAGGGCGCGAGCGUUGUCCGGAUUUAUUGGGCGUAAAGAGCUCGUAGGCGGUUCGUCGCGUCGUCCGUGAAAACUCACAGCUUAACUGUGAGCUUGCGGUCGAUACGGGCAGGCUAGAGUUCGGUAGGGGAGACUGGAAUUCCUGGUGUAGCGGUGAAAUGCGCAGAUAUCAGGAGGAACACCGGUGGCGAAGGCGGGUCUCUGGGCCGUAACUGACGCUGAGGAGCGAAAGCGUGGGGAGCGAACAGG